GAUGGCAUGGAUGGGGAAUGGGAGCAGAGGCUAUAGGAGACAAUGGCAUGACUAGGCUGGGGGCUGUAUAGAUCACUGUGUUAAUUUAAAAAAAACUUUCAAUAAAUUGAUUGGGCUAGUGUUUUGGGCUACAUUUUAAGUGCCUUUGGGCUAUUGAUACAGUAGAAAUCUGGUCACCAAUAAUCAUGCUGGUUUUCUUGAAAAGCAGAGGUAACAGCACUCAUUGAUAAAUCUGUGAAAAAUACAUGGCGUUGGCAGUAGUGUGAAGAGAUUCUUUAAAUAAGCUGUAUGGACAGUGGGUACGGAAAACUGCCGUUCCUGAACAGGGUUUUUGUAUUGAUUGUAACCAGUGUCUGAAUGCACUUCUUUAGUGUGACAUCACAUUUGCAGUGAUUAUAUGCAUGUUUGUUUUGUAUUUUUAGUGUACAUGUGCAACUGUUAUAUGAUAAAAAAAAAAUGUUGCCUCACUAUGCUCCACAACUUACAUUUUCAGUCUUAGUUACUUUGCAGUGCUCCCACCUGUCUCUCCCUGGAUUUGGUUUGUAAAAUAUGGUCACCUUACCUUAAAGGUAUCCAGGUAUGGACACUAUACUUCUCACCAGUACCAAAAUGAUUUAAUACAUCUCCUGUAGAAGUCUUUAGAGAAAACAUUUUGAAGAGGUCAGACAAGCCGAGUAUUUUCUGUCUUUGCUGAUGAAACUAAAGAUGCAUUAAAAAAAAAAAACAGCUGUGUCUCCUUUUACACAGCCAUUGAAAAGGAAUCAUUCAGGAAAGAACUCUGGGCUGCUCCCACAUGGAUUCAGCAUUUAGAUUUUCCAUUUCAAAAAUGAUUGUUGAAGAACUACAGCAUUUGAAGCUUGAUAUUAAGUAUGAUGGAGCAUCUGUGCGUAACGAGAUUUUUGCUUUCAAGGUUCUGAAAUACCUUGCAGCACCUUAAUAAAGGCUUGCAGAAAAACCCCAGAGGGGUUUAAAAACACCAUAAAAUUCACUUUUCCCAAUUGACAUAUGUGACGGGGCAACUCUGCCCCGCACUAGCCCUGGAAGUGACAGACAGGUAGCUCUGUCAGCGGAAGUCUCGCCCCAGCCAUACUGGGCAUGCUCCAAAUGCUCCGUGAGUAUAAAAGGAGGGAACUCAGCUCAGUCUGGGGUGGCAGCCGAAGGAGAAGGACCUAACCAGGCAGCUCCUACAGAGGAACAGCUGACGCUCUCAGAGCCGCUCGGAGCAGGGGCUUCUUCUGACCGGCACGAACCCCUACCGGGGGAGGAACCAGAGGAGGCGACGGCCCCGGAGACCCGCGGAGGACCUUGGGAUUCGUGGGCGACCCCAACUCCCAAACCGAGUUUGAUUCACAACAGACCCCAGGAAUAGAGGAGAACCAUAGACAAAAAGGCUUGAAGAUGGUGCAGACCUGAGGGCCAUAGCACUGAUCCCACAGAAAAGGCAACACUGAUAGACUGCUGACAAUAGCCACCACCCUUCGACUUCUGGAGGCACAUAGCCACACAACUGGAGAGGUCUAUGGAAUGAGAAGACUAGAUGUGUUCCAAGGAUUUCCCACCAAUGGUGGAGAUUCUACAAAGAUUCAACGCAUUGCAUACCAGCAGCAGGAAUCAGAUAAAGUUCAAGCACAGAAGACUAGGACAAUGAAGUGGAGGACCUUUUCUUGGAGUACUCUAUGAAUAGCGCCUACAGGGACCCUAUUGGUGAAUGAGCACAUUUUUUCCUCUCUUUUUCUGAUUUAAAAUGUGAACCUGUAUCUUUAUAUGAGGCAACUAAAGUAAAAACCAGCAAUGCCACCAAAAUGCCCACAUUUGUAACUAUUGCUUUGGUAUUUUACAGAGUUUGGUGCACAACAUGUGUAUACAGCAACAAGGUACCAGAUGGUGCAGGCUAAGCUGAGGGACUUGGGCUGAAGCCACAGGAAGAACAACACUGACAGCCUGCCUCUGGGACUACACUGGUGGUCAGGGCUGGAUUACCUAACAGGCAGACUAAGCAUGUGCUUAGGGCACCAGCAAAGCAGGG